rnacentral:rRNA from 1 species
CGNCCAUGAAAGUGGUACGCGAGCUGGGUUCAGAACGUCGUGAGACAGUUCGGUCCCUAUCCGUCGCAGGCGUAGGAAAUUUGAGAAGACCUGUCCGUAGUACGAGAGGACCGGGAUGGACGUACCUCUGGUGUACCAGUUGUCCUGCCAAGGGCAUGGCUGGGUAGCUAUGUACGGAAUGGAUAAGCGCUGAAAGCAUCUAAGCGCGAAG